GGGAUGUUCCUUUGGGGAAUGUGUACCUGGCGCACGGGUGAGUAAUAUAUAAGUAACCUGCCCUUUAGUUUGGAAUAACCUCGAGAAAUUGGGGCUAAUACCGAAUGUUAAAGAACUACCGCAUGGUAGAACUUUUAAAGUUGCUUUUGCAACGCUAAGGGAUGGGCUUGUAUCCAAUUAGCUAGUUGGUGAGGUAAUGGCUUACCAAGGCGACGAUUGGUAACUGGUCUGAGAGGAUGAUCAGUCACACUGGAACUGAGACACGGUCCAGACUCCUACGGGAGGCAGCAGUGAGGAAUAUUGGGCAAUGGACGCAAGUCUGACCCAGCAACGCCGCGUGGAGGAUGAAGGCCGUAAGGUUGUAAACUCCUUUUAGGAGAGAUGAAUAACUGCGAUUAGCAAUGGUCGCAGCCUGACCGUAUCUCCUGAAUAAGCCCCGGCUAACUACGUGCCAGCAGCCGCGGUAAUACGUAGGGGGCAAGCGUUGUCCGGAUUUACUGGGUGUAAAGGGCGCGUAGGCGGGUUGGUAAGUCAGUGGUGAAAUCUCACAGCUUAACUGUGAAACUGCCUCUGAUACUGCCAAUCUUGAGUUCAGAAGAGAGAGAUGGAAUUCCAGGUGUAGUGGUGAAAUACGUAGAUAUCUGGAAGAACACCAGUGGCGAAGGCGAUCUCUUGGUCUGUAACUGACGCUGAGGCGCGAAAGCGUGGGUAGCGAACAGGAUUAGAUACCCUGGUAGUCCACGCUGUAAACGAUGAAUACUAGGUGUUGGGUAAUAACUCAGUGCCGCAGCUAACGCAUUAAG
rnacentral:rRNA from 1 species